rnacentral:misc_RNA from 1 species
GAGGCGCGAUAUCGCCCCUUCAGAAUACGCGGCAUGACUAACGACAUGGCGCAAAUAACGUCGGCGUCGUCGGUGUUCGCGAUGCAGAACCUAUCAUCGUCAUCGCGUAACUUCAGUUACCCGCUGGAGGACGUGACGUCAAAUCGGGCGGUGCAGUUUGUCUUCUGCGUGUUCUAUCUGGGUAUCUUCUUCAUGGGCAUUUUCGGCAACGUGCUGGUGGCAUUCGUCGUCUGGCGCAACCGGCAGAUGCACACGGUCACGAACCUGUUCAUCGCGAAUCUUGCGCUCAGCGAUGUGCUCCUGUGCUUCCUGGCCGUGCCGUUCACGCCGCUCUACACCUUCCUGGGCCGUUGGGUGUUUGGCAAUACCCUCUGCCACCUGGUACCGUACGCCCAGGGCGUCAGCGUAUACAUCAGCAUGCUCACGUUGACCAGCAUAGCCGUCGACCGAUUCCUGGUGAUCAUCUAUCCGUUCCACCCGCGCAUGCAGAUCAAGAUGUGCAUAGCGAUCAUCGUGAGUAUCUGGGUGUUCGCGUUGCUACUGACCGUGCCGUACGGGCUCUACAUGCAGCUGGAGGAGCCGUACACCUUCUGCGAGGAGCACUGGCCCAGCGAGCCGUUCCGCAAGCUCUUCAGCUCGAUCACCACGAUACUGCAGUUUAUCGUGCCGUUCUUCGUGAUCGCCUUCUGCUACAUAUGCGUGUCGAUCAAGCUGAAGGAUCGGGCGCGCGCCAAGCCCGGCAGCAAGACCAGCAAGCGCGAGGAAGUGGACCGCGAGCGGAAACGACGCACCAACCGGAUGCUGAUCGCCAUGGUGGUGAUAUUCGGCGUGUCCUGGCUACCCCUGAACAUCGUCAACAUCGUCAACGAUUUCUACUCGCCCGCCAACGACUGGUCCUACUACAGGCUAUGCUUCUUCAUAACGCACUGCCUCGCUAUGAGCAGCACCUGCUAUAAUCCGAUCCUCUACGCCUGGCUCAACGACAACUUCCGCAAGGAGUUCAAGCAGGUCCUGCCGUGUUUCUCGAGAAGCUCCGACGACACUCCAAGGACCAAGGAGGGCUGCAAGAGCGACAAGAUAUGUAACGGUAAUAAUACCAUGCAGGAGACUCUACUGCCCAGCAACACGACAAGAGUGCAGAAUCCCGAGGGAUACGAGAUGAUCAUCCUGGAGGCGACGACGAACGUUUCGAAAGACCAGGAUCAGCCCUCGAGCUCUUCCAAAGACUUCGACGACGCUGCUCUGUAAGGAAGUUCGACAGCUUUGCGGUGGUGAAACGCAUCGGCGAUGCGGGUUGCCAGUCGUACGUGAAACGCGUGAGGGCGAACUCGGAGCGAGUUAAUAAUAUUCAACGCAUUGCCGAUCAGCCCCGAUCGAAUUUCUCGAAAACGGAAGGGUUACAAACACCUGCGCCGUUCGCCGAUUAAUCAACGUCAUAUUUUUAUUCCGACAUAGGAAUACUUAAUUUCCCGUACGCGCGUAGGCGAUCGAAUAUAUUUUCACGUUGUCAGAAAACGUUGCAGUCACAACACAUGAGGCUUGAUGGACGCCGUUGCUUCCAUUCUCGGUGAACGAGAAACUGUCGAUUGGAUAAAUCAAGACAUGCGAUGGGGAUGGCUGCAGGAAAGAAGAAACGUGUUUAGCGCGCGAAUCUUGUAUAAUAUAUUUCACGCGUACUUGUAUAAACUGUGAUGUAAUUAAGAACAAUAUUAGAAGCACUUUAGCGAUAAGAGCAUGCAUGUAUCGGAUCGUCGACGAUAAAUUCGAAAGCAAAAUGUGUAAAAAAUAUAAAAAUUAUGAAUAAAUCUUCAUCAAUCGACCGUU